GCCCUUGUAGUUCAACGGAUAGAACAGCUCGGUCCUAACGAGCAGAUGGAAGUUCGAUUCUCCCCGAGGGCA
rnacentral:tRNA from 1 species